AUCAUGUCAGUCGAAUUUGCGAUACGCAAAAAGUAAAUUUAAUUACGUAAAACACGUCGCGUUGUCUUAAGUACCGAAAAUUAUCUUAUUAAGUAUUUAUUGCAAUCGAAUGCGAUUCAUCCGUUUAUGCAAAUUGUACGCGUACGUAAAAUAGAUAAUGAUAUUGUGUAUUAGCCAAUACGAAAAGAAAGAGAGAAAAAGAGAGAGAGAAAAAAAAAAAAAAUAAACGCCUAAUAUUUAAAUAUUAGAUAUAUACGUAUACGGGAGGAUGAGAGACGGCGUUAAAACGAGCCAUUCGAGCACAAAAAGAAGUUUUUUUCUAAGAGGUGGGGGAAGAGGUGUGUGUGUAUAUGUUUGUGUGUGUGUGUGUGUGUGUGUGUGGAACCGAUUAGAAUAUUACUGAAAAUCAAUAAUUUUAUACCGCCGGUUUUUUUUUUUUUUUACCGGCGAUGUUUACCGCAGCUGCUAUUACUCUAUUAUUAUUGCACGCCCGCCGCACCGGAAACGAGCGGCGACGGUUCGGGACGGAAAUGCCCGGGAAAACGCGCGUUCCCGGGCCGUCCGCGGCGCCGUCUUG